CCUAAGAGAUACGUGUUAUGUGAAGUGCUCACACAGAUUGUCUGAUGAAGAACGAGCAAAAGCGCGUCUGCGAAGCUGACAGAAGUCCCCUUCGUCUAGAGGCCUAGGACACCGCCCUUUCACGGCGGUAACAGGGGUUCGAAUCCCCUAGGGGACGCCAAUGCGUGGUAUGAGUGAAAGGCGUACCACUUAUCUGACGAGAGUCAGAGAAUAACUAAGCUAAUUCAAAUGAGUUAUCUUACUUAUUAUGCUCUUUAACAAUCUGGAACAAGCUGAAAAAUUGAAAACAAAUCAAUAUAUCACCGAGGUAUAUUGAUGAGUCUCUCAAAAUCUCAAACCUUAAAGUUUGUCACGCAAAGUUUAUCUUUGAAAGAGACACUUUCGGGUUGUGA
rnacentral:misc_RNA from 1 species